AACAACAGUGAUUCCCUUAGUAGCGGCGAGCGGAAACGGGAAGAAGCCCAGCACCGAAUCUCGUCCCCGGCUGCAUCGGGGACCGAGAAAUGUGGUGUUAGGGGACCGUCAACUUGCUGCGCGUCUUUGCACGCCGGAGCCCAAGUCCGAUCGAAAGCGGCGGCCUCUCUGCCCGUAGAGGGUGAAAGGCCCGUGGGGCCGGCGCGAGGCACGCGCAAGCGGCGGUUUCCCGUGGAGUCGGGUUGCUUGAAAGUGCAGCCCAAAGUGGGUGGUAAACUCCACCUAAGGCUAAAUACGACCACGAGACCGAUAGCGAACAAGUACCGCGAGGGAAAGUUGAAAAGAACUCUGAAGAGAGAGUUCAAGAGUGCGUGAAACUGCCUAGGGGUAAACGGGCGGAUUUGCCGAAGCUCGAACGGGGAGGUCUCACGGUCUCUUGGGAUCUGCGUGGUCCCGGCGCCGGGGGCGCGCGGCGUUUCUCGGGCUCGCCUUCGGGACUGGGCUCGUGAGUCGUGCGUUCCACACCGGUGCCGGUUGAGCUCGUUCCCGGGACCUGUACGGCUCCCUCAGUAGGACGUCGCGACCGAUCGGGAACUCUGUCAAAGGAGAAGUGGCGGUCGUGCGGCCCCGAGCGGUUGCUUCCUUGUCGGUCAACACCGGCGCCCGGGCGACUGGGUGCCGGUGGGCAAGCUGGGCUGGGCGCGGCGGAGCAAUCCGUCGUCCCGGCCCAACGCUCUUGGGUUCUGCCGUCUCGUCCGCCCCCCGAUCGUUGUACUAACGACUUGCCCGCGCAUCCGUGCCGGAGCAAUCCGGCCGGGCGCGUCGACUGGGCGACAGCGGCUGGCGAGGCUGGCGGCGUGGUUCCUAGCUCUAACGGGCUACCCGUCGUCGGUAAAGCGAUCGCAAGGUCGUCCUCGCCGUCGGUCUCUUGUCGCCUGCGUUGGCUUCGACCGUGCGGUGAGCGGAAGUCUGCGGCGAGUAGGUGUUGCGAAUCCUCCCGACCCGUCUUGAAACACGGACCAAGGAGUCUAACAUGUGCGCGAGUCUCGGGGCUCUUCUCACGAACCCCCAAGGCGAAGUGAAAGCGAAGUUGCUGCCUGGUCGGCAACGAAGGAGGAUCCGUCGGCUCCGUUCUCGGACCGGCGGCGCACUCCCGGGGCGCUCGCGACAGGGACGCGUUUCGGCGCGGCCCGGGCGGGCGCACCAAGAGCGUACACGUUGGGACCCGAAAGAUGGUGAUCUAUGCCCGGCCAGGACGAAGCCAGGGGAAACUCUGGUGGAGGUCCGUCGCGAUUCUGACGUGCAAAUCGAUCGUCUGAGCUGGGUAUAGGGGCGAAAGACUAAUCGAACCAUCUAGUAGCUGGUUCCCUCCGAAGUUUCCCUCAGGAUAGCUGGCGCUCGCAUUCGGAGGAGUCUCAUCCGGUAAAGCGACUGAUUAGAGGUUCUCGGGGCCGCAAGGGCCUCGACCUAUUCUCAAACUUUAAAUGGGUGAGAAGCGGGGCUUUCCUAAACGGUCGAAGCCCUGCAUCUCUUCGCAGGAUCCACGAGCAGCCAAGUGGGCCACUUUUGGUAAGCAGAACUGGCGCUGUGGGAUGAACCAAACGCCGGGUUAAGGCGCCCGAGUGGACGCGCAUCAGACCCCAGGAAAGGCGUCGGUGGCUAAAGACAGCAGGACGGUGGCCAUGGAAGUCGGCAUCCGCCAAGGAGUGUGUAACGACUCACCUGCCGAAGCGACCGGCCCUGAAAAUGGAUGGCGCUGCAGCGUCCCGCCCAUACCCGGCCGCCGGGGCAGAGCAUCGGGCUACGGUUCAUUCCGGCCCGGCGCGAGGCCCCGGUGAGUAGGAGGGAGCGCAACGGUGUGCGUGGAAGUGGCUGGGCGCGAGCCCGCACGGAGCCGCCGUUGGUGCAGAUCUUGGUGGUAGUAGCAAAUACUCCGGAGAGACCCUGGAGGACUGAUGCGGAGAAGGGUUUCGCGUGAACAGCCGCUGGACGUGAGUCAGUCGAUCGUAAGCCCUAGGGGAAACCCGAGAUGGAGAGGCGACGGCGAACUUUUUGGGAGAAAAUGCUAAAACUUGCCUGCCUGCAAUGCAUGCCGUGUUGUUUCGGGCGCUCGGCCUGUGGCGUCGGUGCACUUAAUCGCCCGGCAGAGCCCUACCGGUAUGCUCAGUCCGGCAACGCAGAGGCAGCGGCGGCAGCUGGCGCUAGCUACUAUCUCAGCUAGUCUGUUGUUUAAUCCUCGUCGCACCGAGGGCGAAAGGGAAUCCGGCCAAAAUUCCGGAACCCGGCAGCGGAACCGAUGACCCUUUGGGUCGCGAGCCCUUGGCAAGGGGCGCUUCACCGCGCUACCUGCCAGGUUCGUCGCGGCGACGCGACUGGACCCGGAGACGCCGACGGGGGCUUCCGGAAGAGUUAUCUUUUCUCCAGAAGCGGCCGAGGCCCUGGAAACCUCUCGGAGGGAGAUAGGGUUUUGGCUUUUAAUGCGAGGAAUGUCUCCAACACG
rnacentral:rRNA from 1 species